AUUGAACGCUGGCGGCAUGCUUUACACAUGCAAGUCGAACGGCAGCACGGGAGCAAUCCUGGUGGCGAGUGGCGAACGGGUGAGUAAUGUAUCGGAACGUACCUUUCAGUGGGGGAUAACGUAGCGAAAGUUACGCUAAUACCGCAUAUUCUGUGAGCAGAAAAGCAGGGGAUCGCAAGACCUUGCGCUGAUUGAGCGGCCGAUAUCAGAUUAGCUAGUUGGUAGGGUAACGGCCUACCAAGGCGAUGAUCAGUAGGGGGCGUGAGAGCGUGGUCCCCCACACGGGUACUGAGACACGGACCCGACUCCUACGGGAGGCAGCAGUAAGGAAUAUUGGUCAAUGGAGGGAACUCUGAACCAGCCAUCCCGCGUGAAGGAUGAAGGGGCUCUGCCUUGUAAACUUCUUUUGCAUGGGACGAAAAAACUUAAUUUAUUAAGGACUGACGGUACCAUGAGAAUAAGCACCGGCUAACUCCGUGCCAGCAGCCG
rnacentral:rRNA from 1 species